rnacentral:rRNA from 1 species
AGUAAAAGUCGUAACAAGGUUUCCGUAGGUGAACCUGCGGAAGGAUCAUUAAUGAAUUAGAAACAACGGAGCUGUUGCUGGCCUUUUACUAGGCAUGUGCACGCUUUGUUAACUCAUCCACAUACCUCUGUGCACCCUUCAUAGAUCGGCAAAAGGUGGGUUAUUCCUGCUCAGUAGUCUUUCUAUGCAUACAACAAACAUCAGUAUUAGAAUGUACACUUGCGAUAAUCGCAUUGAAACACAACUUUCAGCAACGGAUCUCUUGGCUCUCGCAUCGAUGAAGAACGCAGCGAAAUGCGAUAAGUAAUGUGAAUUGCAGAAUUCAGUGAAUCAUCGAAUCUUUGAACGCACCUUGCGCUCCCUGGUAUUCCGGGGAGCACGCCCGUUUGAGUGUCAUGGUAUUCUCAACCUUCCUCACUUUUGUGACUGGAAGGCUUGGAUGUGGAGGUCGUGCGGGCUCUCGCGAGUCGGCUCCUCUGAAAUGCAUUAGCGUGAACGUUUACGGAUCGCUAUCAGUGUGAUAAUUAUCUGCGCUGUUAGUGUUGAAGUAUUGAUUAGUGUCGCGCUUCUAACCGUCCUUCAGUUGGACAACUUAUCUGACAUCUGGCCUCAAAUCGGGCGGGACUACCCGCUGAACUUAAGCAUAUCAAUAAG